rnacentral:lncRNA from 1 species
UCCUACAUUAUAUCACAUAGGUCUGUGUGACCAAUAGAAUCUGCAGAAGUGAUGCCACAGUACUUCCAAGAUUAGGUCAUAAAAGGUCCUGUUGCUUCCCUCUUGGUUUCUUUCCCUCUCUCUCUCCUCUCUCCUUUCUCUUGGACCCUUUGCUCUGGGGAAACCAGCUGCUACAUCACCAUCAGCCUUGUGACCAUGCCACAUGGUAAGGAGCUGAAAUCUCAGCAGCCACAUGAGUGAGCUCGGCAGCGGAUCCUUUAGGCCCCGUCAUGCAAUCCUGGAUUGCAGCCCUGGACAUCCACUUAACUAGCAAGACUGAGCCAGAACCACCCAGAUGAGCUGCUCCUGGAUUCCCAACUCUCAAAAACGGUGUUCCACAGACAUCCUACAUGCAUGACAUUGAUUCACUCUUACAUUUGACAGGAUUGCAGGAGCUCCUCAGACAAGAUCUGUGGCAACAGUAACAAUAAAAGCAUCCCAUGCGGACCAAACUCCUGCUGCAGUAAGAGCUAAACAUAUGGUGUCUUACUUUGCCCUCGUUAUUACCCCUGAGGGCAGAUGGUGCAGUCCCGGAACCUGGCCGUCCACUCCACCCACGUGCCUUAGCAAAGUGCCCUUGGUGAGGCUGAGGGACUAGGCAGCCAGGACUCCUGAGGGGACCUUAUCAGAGAGGGAAGCCACCUCGGACUGAGUGGUGAGUGCUGCUCUAGGACUGCCCUAAAACUGGAUUUGAACAAAAGACCACAUGCCGUAUGACUCCAUUGGAAUGAAACAUCCAGAACAGGCAAAGCCACAGAGGCAGGAAGCAGCAUCCCCCCAGGUCAGCAACACCUCUGGAGCUGAGGCUGGCAGAAUGUGGCGGGGGCUCCUCUGAGAGCAUGGCAGCUUCUAAUGGACCCACGUGGUUAGUUUGAGAGAAACAGUCACCAGAAGACAGCCAUAUGUGUCCGGGCUGGGAGACCUAACAUUUCAGAGCCACCAACCCUGCAUCACUGGCUGACAGGUGGCUGGACAUCGUGUCACCACUGUCUUCUGGGAAUAAACAUUUCUCAGC